rnacentral:rRNA from 1 species
GAUGAACGCUGGCGGCGUGCCUAACACAUGCAAGUCGAACGGAGUUAUGCAGAGGAAGUUUUCGGAUGGAAUCGGCGUAACUUAGUGGCGGACGGGUGAGUAACGCGUGGGAAACCUGCCCUGUACCGGGGGAUAACACUUAGAAAUAGGUGCUAAUACCGCAUAAGCGCACAGCUUCACAUGAGGCAGUGUGAAAAACUCCGGUGGUACAGGAUGGUCCCGCGUCUGAUUAGCCAGUUGGCAGGGUAACGGCCUACCAAGCGACGGAUCAGUAGCCGCCGUGAGAGGGUGAACGGCCGACAGUUGGGACUGAGACACGGCCCAAACUCCUACGGGAGGC